rnacentral:rRNA from 1 species
UACGUAGGGUGCAAGCGUUGUCCGGAAUUAUUGGGCGUAAAGAGCUUGUAGGCGGUUUGUCGCGUCUGCUGUGAAAUUUCGGGGCUCAACCCCGAACUUGCAGUGGGUACGGGCCAGACUAGAGUGUGGUAGGGGAGACUGGAAUUCCUGGUGUAGCGGUGAAAUGCGCAGAUAUCAGGAGGAACACCGAUGGCGAAGGCAGCUCGCUGGGACGGUACUGACGCUGAGGCGCGAAGCGUGGGGAGCA